rnacentral:lncRNA from 1 species
GGAAAUAUUUUAUAUUAAUAAUCAGGGACAAGAGUGCACAUGCAAGAGCAUGUAGUCUUGUGUCACAUUGAUUGAGUUCAAAUUCUGCUCUAUCAUGGUAAGACUUUGGCUAAGUUACACAUACAUUUUGUGUCUCGGAUUCUUCAUGAAUGAAAUGGAAAUAAUACUACUUACCUAAAAGGCAUGCAGUGAAGAUGAAGAAAUAGCUGUAAAAGGUUUAACACAAUGCCAAGCAUAUAGUAUGCCAUUUAUCUCCAUCCACAUUGUCCAGAUUCAUUCAAGUCCUACUUACAUUUACUCUGCAUACAGAUUUUUGUUUUACCAUGCUGUCACUGGCUAAACUUAAAAUUACAUUACAAAAUGUUGGCUAGUUUCAAAUGAAAUUCAUAAAAUACAUGUGUGAUAUAAGGAAAAUUGAUACAACAAAGAUCCAUAUGCCCUCCAUCCAGGUUAAAGGGAAGUUAUUUUUAAAAGAAUGAACACAUAAUUUAGUAUCAAAACUAGGACCUUCUGAGAGUGAAAGAGGGUGCUCUUAGUUAUUACACUAGGAAAAUAGGCAAACAAGGACUAUUCUGACUAAACCAACAUGUAUAGUCACAUGUUGUACGUUCCUUGUAUGCCCUUGCCUAAUCCAUUCCCUUCCUUCUGCAGCUAAAGAUCACUAUCUUGAUUUUUUGGUUAUCAUUCUUUUACUUUAUAGACUUAUUUCAUGUUUGUACUCAAAAUACUGUUUACUUUUAUUGGUUCUUUAAUUUGUAAACGUGGAAUCCUACUGUACUCCUCUUUUAUGAAUUGUUAUUUUGCACAACAUUGUUAGUGAUUCAUCCAUGUCCAUGGAUUUGUGAUUCAUUUUCCCUACGUUGUAGUACUGUACACAAUACAUUUAACCACUCUACUGUUGAUACACAGUUGGUUUAUUUCCAAUUUUUAUUGUUAUAAGCAAUUGUUAGGAAUUUUCUUGCUUAUAUAUCCUGAUACACAUUUCUCCUGGGCCAUAAAAGCAUCUUCAGGUUUCCUAGAUAAGAUCAAAUUAUUUUCCAAAUUGAUACAUCAAUUUAUACUUCAACCAUAAUGUAUAAUUGUUCUGGUGAUAUUGUCAAACUUUAAAAUUUUUCGUUAUGUGAUAGAUAUGAAAUGAUAUUUCCUUGUGGUUGAGCAUCUCUUCAGGUUUCCUUCCUCCUUUAUGAAUUGCCUAUUUAGAGUAUGGUAGUGAAGAACUUUAUUAAAAAAUUAAAUUGUAGUAAUUCUUUACAUAAUUUGAAUAUUAAUCCCUUUGCCAGUAAUAUGGGUUGUAAAGAUCUCCCAGUUUGUGUUUUGUCUUUUACUCUCCUUAUUAUGUCUUUUUUUUUUUUACUUUUUAUUAUGGAAAAUUUUAAACAUAAAUAAAAGUAUGCAGAGUAGAAUAAUGAGCUUCCAUUUAUCUAUCACUUAGCUUCAACAAUUAUCCACUCAUAACCAAUUCUGCUUCAUUUAUAUAGUACUUUUCCCACCUCUUAAUAUUUUGAAGUAUAUUCCAGACAUUAUAUCAUUACAUAUCUAAAUAUUUCAGUAUAUAUCUAUAAAAAAUAGAUAUAUUUAUUAAUUUUUUGGUCUUUUUUUAGGGCUGCACCUGUGGCAUAUGGAGGCUCCCAGGGCUAUGGGUCUAAUUGGAGCUGUAGCUGCAGGCCUAUACUACAGUUGCAGCAAUGCCAAAUCUGAGCCAUGUCUGCAACCCACUCCCCAGCUCAUGGCAAUGCUGGAUCCUUAACCUACUGAGUGAGGCCAGGGAUAAAACCUGCAUCCUCAUGGUUACUAGUCAGAUUUGUUUGUGCUGAGCUACUCCCAAGCAAUAGAGUAUUUUUAAAUUAAGGUAUGUUCAUUUUUUUUCAGAUACAAUGAUAUUUCACACUUAAGAUAUUGUGCAGUAUAAGCAUAACUAACUUUUGAAUCACUGGGAAACAAAAAAAAUUCAUGCAACUCUUUUCAUUAUAUUUGCUUUAUUGCCCUGUUCUGGAACUGAACCUGCAAUAUCUCCAAAUAUCCCUGCAGUCCCUCUUCUGAGAACUAGAAAAGUUGGACAAAAUAUAAAAUGGACAUCUUAAGGCAUUAGACAGCUAAUAAGGAAGUAAAAAAUGUAGAAGAAGAAAAAACCACAGUUGAUGAACUCAGCAUUUAUGAUAGCUAUUUUUCUUGGGUAUCUGCUGAUUCCUGAGAAUAAGAUGGCUGAAAGGAUGAAGAGAACUUCUGACUAACUCAGUGAGAUUAAGAGACAAAAAUUGGAUUUCAGGGCCUGACUAGUUAACUCUACUGGCCUCAACCCAAGACCUCAAAGGUCCAUACCCUGAGAAAAAGUCUGAACUUUAAGUAGACUUGCUCAAAUUCCAGCAUCUCAAUUACUGACUGGAUUAAGGUGAUUUUGGAUUACUAGUGCCCAAAGCUCCUGUCAGGAGACAUAAAUUCGUUCUGCAGAAAGUAUCAUCAUUUUAGACCUCAAAGUAUUACUUCAUAUACCAGUUCUGUCAUUCGAUCAAUAUAACACAUAUUAAAUUUUAUAAGUAAAAAAUGAUACAAGUAAUAUAAAAUAACAAAAUAAGACAAUAUGAUAAACAACAAAUAUAACAAG